rnacentral:tRNA from 1 species
GGGAGCUUAGUUAAGUGGUAUAACAGUGGUCUCCAAAACCACGGUCGGGGGUCCGAUUCCCUCAGCUCCCGCUA